GAUCAUGGCUCAGGAUGAACGCUAGCGACAGGCUUAACACAUGCAAGUCGAGGGGCAGCACAGGUAGCAAUACCGGGUGGCGACCGGCGCACGGGUGAGUAACGCGUAUGCAACUUGCCUAUCAGAGGGGGAUAACCCGGCGAAAGUCGGACUAAUACCGCAUGAAGCAGGGGCCCCGCAUGGGGAUAUUUGCUAAAGAUUCAUCGCUGAUAGAUAGGCAUGCAUU
rnacentral:rRNA from 1 species